CGUGAGGGAAAGUUGCAAAGAACUUUGAAGAGAGAGUUCAAGAGUACGUGAAACUGCUCAGAGGUAAACGGGUGGGCCCUCGAAAUCCUGUGGCGAGAGGAUUCAGUCUGGGGCGGCGGACGCGGCAGGCCGGAAAUCAGAGCAGGGCUUCCCCGAGCGGGGGCCGUCCGGCCGCGCGGAGUACCGCAGCGCCCGACGCAUUUGACUCUCGUCCGAAGGACGCCGCAGCCGGUUGGGUAGUGCAAGCGCGACGGCCUGAGGGGCGGGAAAUGGCAGGUGGCCGGUGGCGCGCACCAUGCGUGCCGCCGGUUGUUAGCCGUUCCGCCAGUGGCUCGUCACCCGACCGAGGUGUCGCGAGGCCCCUAGUGGGCCCUUGGCGUCUCCUGUUCCUCCAGGACAGCGGGGCAGGGCGCCGCAGUUGGCUAUCGCCGUCCCGUUCGCACCCCCAAGGGUGGUCGGGCGAGCGUGCGCCUCCGUUUGCGGCGACGGACCCGUGCGGAGGUUGGAGGCUGGCGGCGAGUAGGUCGGUCACCCACCCGACCCGUCUUGAAACACGGACCAAGGAGUCUAACAUGUGCGCGAGUCAAUGGGUCUUGAACAGGCCCAGAGGCGCAACGAAAGCAAAGGUCGCGCACCACGCCGGCCGAGUUGGGAUCCCCGGCCCCGUGCCGGGGCGCACCAACGACCCGUCCUAUCCGGCUCGCCGGUUGGGCGGAGUAUGAGCGUACACGUUGGUACCCGAAAGAUGGUGAACUAUGCCCGGGCAGGACGAGGCCAGAGGAAACUCUGGUGGAGGUCCGCAGCGGUU
rnacentral:rRNA from 1 species